UAGAUACCCUGGUAGUCCACGCCCUAAACGAUGUCUACUAGUUGUCGGGUCUUAAUUGACUUGGUAACGCAGCUAACGCGUGAAGUAGACCGCCUGGGGAGUACGGUCGCAAGAUCAAAACUCAAAGGAAUUGACGGGGACCCGCACAAGCGGUGGAUGAUGUGGAUUAAUUCGAUGCAACGCGAAAAACCUUACCUACCUUGACAUGGCUGGAAUCCUUGAGAGAUCAGGGAGUGCUCGAAAGAGAACC
rnacentral:rRNA from 1 species